rnacentral:lncRNA from 1 species
UUCCCAGAUCUUCUUGGCUUAGCAGCUGAAGACUGACACUGCCCGAUUGCCUCGGAAGCCCCCUAGACCAUCACGGAUGCCCAGCUUCGGUUAACUCUCACAGUGGAGGAUGAAGAAGCUCAAGUCGGGAUGGUGAUGUGGCUUUCCCAAGACCGCAUCAUUAGCGGCCAAAUAAUAACAUACCUAGCCCUUCCUGGAGUGGAAGACAAACCCCAAAGGCCCUGACAACUUGGGAUAUAAGCCGUUCCCAUCUGCGAGUCCUGCUUUUCCAGGAACACAGCACCACUACUGAGACUUCCCACCCUGCGAUUCAAAAGUCUUGCCUCCUCAGGACCAGCAAAGUCAUGGCCAGAGAUAACAUCUGCUUAUAGAAUCCCAGGGAGUUUUAUUGACUUCACAAGAAAGAUAAGCAGCACAAUGGCUCACACACUCACAGGAGAGUAAACUUUCUCACAAUUCAUAGAAAUCCCCUCUCUAUAUUAUAACAGUGCUCAAAUUUCCUGCCCAACUCCCCCUCCUCAUCUUCAUCAUAGUUGCCCACAUCCCAUAAUAGUAAGAGGGGGUUUUACCAAGAGUAUGGAAAUAGCAUUUGUGGGUGCUUGCCCUCAAGAAUUCUCUCCCCUGAGGGUGUCACCCUCUUUCCUCGGCUUUGAUAUACGGUGAUAUGCAGCCCCAGGCAACCGGCCCCAGCAGGCUCUGGGACUCCCCAUUUGGUUUGGCUCCAAGGGCAUGUCUGGUGAGGUACCACGCAGCAGUGGUCAGGGCACUGCUCCUGGGCUCUUGGGCUGUAAGGCCAGAGCAACAGCUUUCAGAGGUGAGAAAGUCAUAGGCCAAGGAAGAACAGGCGAUGUGCUACAAGAGGAAGGAGGGAGGCUGUGGCGCCUUCUCUCUGGGCAGCUGCUGUCUGAACAGCAGACAGGGGUUUAAACAUAGGCUAUAGCCACACAGAGCCCAUCCCUCCCCCUGCCUCUCAUUCUCCUGGCCAGGCAGUCUUGGCUUCACUCUCUUUCUUAAUCUCCCCCAGCUGCAGACUGCCUCUUCCUGCCCUGGAGCAACUGCCUCCAUCUCUGGCAAGCCCCUACCAUCAAGAAAGGUGGGAAACACUUGCCCUCCCUGUCCCCAGCCCCUUGCCCAGUCACCCUCACUUACAACCCCUUUAUUUAGCCAAAACCCAUUUCCCCUGCUUAUAAGAAAAGGGAGGGGUGUUUCUGAGAUUACACACCAGGCCCUUCCUCUCAGAUAUAAAUGUUCUUCCCAAGAUCCCAAAUCUUUACAUCAAGAAUAGAUCCAGCUUAGCAGAAAUGGGGACGAUAAAGGAUUUCAGUUCUAAAUCACAGUAUGUUCUAAGACACAAGGGCAUGCAUGACAUCACCAAUAAUUCAGAUAUUAGAUAAAUAUUUGCCAGACAAGAGCCACUGUCCUGAGGAACAAAGGGGAAGAGGAAUGAUAUGAGGCAUGGAGUUUGUCACUGAAUUUAUUUCCCUCUUUCACUGGUGCUCAGUUCAGCCCACCCCAGUUGUAUACCUAUGUUCCCCCUUAAGCCCCCUCAAUAGGCUGUUUUUCACACCUCCGAAGAUAUUCGGCUUUAUGGGGUGCCCUUGAGGCUUUGAGGUUCAGUGACAGCUGCAACUGUUGUGCCCAGAUCUCCCCCUCAUAUCCUGGUCCUCAGCUCUGGGUUUCUUAGGAAAUUCACUUCCAGGCAGGGAGUUCCCCAGACCUCUGCUUUUCCUUCCUCUCCCUCCUGCGUCCACACUGAGGCUAUUUCACUGCUUAUCAGCACUUCAGAUGGGGGAUAUGAAGGAGUCAGUGUGAAAAUCUGAUUAGUCAUUUUGGCUAUUUUUUCUGGAAGCUGUAGUAAAAGAUGGGUUGCAAAAGAAAGAAAAGCUAUUAGCUAUUGAAAUCUGUGUGUUUCAAUUAACCUUAUCCCUCACAGAUAAUUGAGAAUUGACAAUAAUGUUAGUUUCUUUGCAACCUUCUUUAAAAAAUUUUUUUUUCAUUUCUGAUACCAUCUUCACGUGGCGUUGACCAAGGCCCAUAAACAAUUUGUGCCUUCUUGGUCAGCACCAAGAGCUCAAAGCUUGGCAAGUGAGCCCACGACGGAAGAACUCAAAGGCCUCAGGGGCCCCGGGGCAGUGAAGGUCACCUUCUCCUCCCUCCACUGUGUUCUCUUUGUGCCCAAGUGUGCCAACAUGGGUGCCAGGUUAUUCCAGCCUGCCAGUUCCCACUCCUCCUGCCCAGGUUCAUGCUGCGCCCCCUCCACCAGCUCAGACUGGCCUCUCUUGCCUCUGAGCACACCUUACCCUCCACAGCUCUUAACUGCUUUCUUCCUUCUGGGUCCCUGCCUGAUACCUGAUGCGUUUCCAAAACCCAGAUCCCCAAGGUUUAUCUCAAGUCCAGGAGCACCUCAAAGACCUCAUGGCAAAGCCAGGUAGAAUUGCUCAGCACCCUCCACCACAACCUCACCCAGUCCUCUGGGUGAAUAAUAUGGGCACGCCUGGUUGCUCCCAGAGCCUAAAUAGGCACGGAAGGCAAGGAGGGCGGCAGCCAUGUGUCCUGGGACCAGGCCCACUUGGCUUCCAACAACUGCUUAGCUCUGUCCACAAGUUAAGUCAGCCUCAGUUUCCUCUUCAGUAAAAUUUUGAGACUGAAAAUAGAAUCUACUUCCUAGAUUUAUUUUGAAACCUAAAUGAGUUGAUGAAGGUAAAGUACUUGGCACAGGGCCAGGCAGGAAAUCAGUUCUGGGUGUGCAAUGAUGACCACCACCGUUAGCAACGUCCCCACAGUCCCAGGCAGCCUGGGCCAGCUCUAGGAGGGCCUCUGGUGCUACACUCCGCUGGAAGAGCCCCAAGGCUGAGAGGCUUCUACCUAGGUGCUUUUUUGGGAUUUUUAGUAAAACAUCGCUUACAGUUUUUAUACAGAUUCCCCUCUCUCCCCUGCAAGAUGCAGAGCUGUGUUCCAGGGGGUCAUGAGCCACUUCCUGGCUAUUCGCACAAUGAGCACUCAGUGAUCCAGGCCCCAGCUGCUCCUGGUCUAGCUCGGUAGCAGCUCCAUCUUCCCAUGGGAUGAAUUCCUCCCUGGAGGAUCCUCCAUUCUUAUGCAAAUAGCUACUGGGAGCUCUGGCUCCUCGAGUUUUUUGACGUUCCCAAACAAGUCUGAAUGCACUUAAGACAGAAAGCGGGUGUCUCCUCCCACCUUAAUUACAAUUAGAAUGAAAUUAUGUUCACUUCAAAAUUAACAUUUCACACUUUUGCAACCAUCAGAACUCCGACCACUGCCACCGUUCGGGUCCUCCCUCCCCUUCUCCUCCCUGCCGCCUCCUCUCCCUUUGUCCCGUGACUCAGCUCCCUGCUUCCCUGCCCUGACUUCCCCUACCCUUCCAGGUUUUGCAGGCAGCGCCAUCUGCUGGACGCAGGCUCAGCUGCACCUUCCUCCUCCCGGCGAGGCAAGGGGGUGCCAGGAGCUGGCCUAGGAUAGAUGGCUCCUCCCCCACUGGUAACACUGCACUUGCUGGGUAAUUCUGCCG